GACGAACGCUGGCGGCGUGCUUAACACAUGCCAGUCGAACGGAAAGGCCCUGCUUUUGUUGUUCGCUUGAGUGGCGCGCGGGUGAGAAACACGUGAGUAACCCGCCCCUGUCUUUGGGAUAACUUCAGGAGACUCCGGCUCAUAACCGAUAUGAUCUCUUGAUGCAUGGGGUUGGUAGGAAAGUUUCGGCGGUUGGGGAUUGACUCGCGGCUUACCAGCUGGUUGGGCGGGUAGUGACUUACCAAGGCUUUGACGGGUAGCCGGCCUGGGAGGGGGACCGGCACCAUUGGGCCUGAGAUACGGCCCAGAAUCCAACGGGAGGCAGAAGUGGGGAUUAUUGCACAAUGGCGGGAAGCCUGUGGCAGCAAGCCCCGGUGCGGGAUACCGGCCUUCGGGUGGAAAACCGCUUUCGCAGGUGCCGAAGCGUGAGUGACGGUAACGGGUAAAGAAGCACCGGCUAACUACGUG
rnacentral:rRNA from 1 species